rnacentral:siRNA from 1 species
CCAACAAUUGCAAUGAUCUAUCC